rnacentral:sRNA from 1 species
AUGGCUGUCGUCAGCUCGUGUCGUGAGAUGUUGGGUUAAGUCCCGCAACGAGCGCAACCCUUGUCCUAUGUUGCCAGCGGGUAAUGCCGGGGACUCGUAGGAGACUGCCGGGGUCAACUCGGAGGAAGGUGGGGACGACGUCAAGUCAUCAUGCCCCUUACGUCCAGGGCUGCACACAUGCUACAAUGGCCGGUACAAAGGGCUGCUAUCCCGCGAGGGUGAGCGAAUCCCAAAAAGCCGGUCUCAGUUCGGAUCGGAGUCUGCAACUCGACUCCGUGAAGUCGGAGUCGCUAGUAAUCCCGGAUCAGCAACGCCGGGGUGAAUACGUUCCCGGGCCUUGUACACACCGCCCGUCAAACCACGAAAGUCGGCAACACCCGAAGCCGGUGACCCAACCCUUUUGGGAGGGAGCCGUCGAAGGUGGGGUCGGUGAUUGGGGUUAAGUCGUAACAAGGUAGCCGUACCGGAAGGUGCGGCUGGAUCACCUCCUUUCUAAGGAGUCACGGUCGGUCUCUUUAUGGGGCCGAGCACUCCUAAGUCGAUCACUGGUUAGUCGGCUACUUUCCUUUCGUCAUGGUAGAAGCUCGCGAGCUUGCUCAAGGGAUCCCAUAGCGAUUGAGAUUGUGGCCAGGCCGUUCCUAUUCCGUUGCCAGGGAGUGCCGGCGGCGUGCCGCUGUGCCCCUUGAGAACUCCAUAGCGAGCACGAGCAUCUUUUUUUAAAAGAAACAGAAUCUCCAAGCUACAAAGAGCCAACGGUGGAUGCCUUGGCGCCUGAAGCCGAUGAAGGACGUGGGUGGCUGCGAUAAGCCACGGGGAGCUGCCUACCAAGCUUCGAUCCGUGGAUGUCCGAAUGGGGAAACCCGG